rnacentral:rRNA from 1 species
UUCGAAGGUGGCAAGCGUUACUCGGAAUUACUAGGCGUAAAGGGCAUGUAGGUGGUCUGAUAAGUCUGUUGUGUAAGCUCCCGGCUUAACUGGGAGAGGUCAACGGAAACUAUCAGGCUUGAGUGUGGGAGAGGGUACUGGAAUUCCGGGUGUAGCGGUGGAAUGCGUAGAGAUCCGGAAGAACACCGGUGGCGAAGGCGGCCUGCUGGGCAGUUGCUGACACUGAGGCGCGACAGCGUGGGGAGCAAACAGG